GACGAACGCUGGCGGCGUGCCUAAUACAUGCAAGUCGAGCGCAGGAAACUGACGGAACUCUUCGGAGGGAAGGCAGUGGAAUGAGCGGCGGACGGGUGAGUAACACGUAAGGAACCUGCCUCAAGGAUUGGGAUAACUCCGAGAAAUCGGAGCUAAUACCGGAUAGUUCAACGGACCGCAUGGUCCGCUGAUGAAAGGCGCUUCGGCGUCACCUUGAGAUGGCCUUGCGGUGCAUUAGCUAGUUGGUGGGGUAACGGCCCACCAAGGCGACGAUGCAUAGCCGACCUGAGAGGGUGAUCGGCCGCGCUGGGACUGAGACCCGGCCCAGACUCCUACGGGAGGCAUCAGUAGGGAAUCUUCCACAAUGUGCGAAAGUCUGAUGGAGCAACGCCGCGUGAGUGAUGAAGGUUUUCGGAUCGUAAAACUCUGUUGUAAGGGAAGAACACGUACGAGAGGAAAUGCUCGUACCUUGACGGUACCUUACGAGAAAGCCACGGCUAACUACGUGCCAGCCGCCGCGGUAA
rnacentral:rRNA from 1 species